GAUGAACGCUAGCGGCAGGCUUAACACAUGCAAGUCGAGGGGUAGAGGAAGCUUGCUUCCUUGAGACCGGCGCACGGGUGCGUAACGCGUAUGCAAUCUACCUUAUACAGGGGGAUAGCCCAGAGAAAUUUGGAUUAAUACCCCAUAGUAUAAUUGAAUGGCAUCAUUUGAUUAUUAAAGUUCCACGGUAUAAGAUGAGCAUGCGUCCCAUUAGCUAGUUGGUGUGGUAACGGCACACCAAGGCGACGAUGGGUAGGGGUCCGUGAGAGGGAGAUCCCCACACUGGUACUGAGACACGGACCAG
rnacentral:rRNA from 1 species